AACGAACGCUGGCGGCAGGCCUAAUACAUGCAAGUCGAACGCACCGCAAGGUGAGUGGCAGACGGGUGAGUAACGCGUGGGAACCUUCCUAGUAGUACGGAAUAACUCCGGGAAACCGGUGCUAAUACCGUAUAAGCCCUCCGGGGGAAAGAUUUAUCGCUACUAGAUGGGCCCGCGUCGGAUUAGCUUGUUGGUGAGGUAAUGGCUCACCGAGGCUUCGAUCCGUAGCUGGUCUGAGAGGAUGAUCAGCCACACUGGGACUGAGACACGGCCCAGACUCCUACGGGAGGCAGCAGUGGGGAAUCUUGCGCAAUGGGCGGAAGCCUGACGCAGCAACGCCGCGUGAGGGAUGACGGCCU
rnacentral:rRNA from 1 species